rnacentral:rRNA from 1 species
AGCGAACGCUGGCGGCAUGCCUAACACAUGCAAGUCGAACGAACCUUUCGGGGUUAGUGGCGGACGGGUGAGUAACCCGUGGGAACGUGCCUUUAGGUUCGGAAUAACUCAGGGAAACUUGUGCUAAUACCGAAUGUGCCCUUCGGGGGAAAGAUUUAUCGCCUUUAGAGCGGCCCGCGUCUGAUUAGCUAGUUGGUUGAGGUAAUGGCUCACCACGGCGACGAUCAGUAGCUGGUCUGAGAGGAUGAUCAGCCACAUUGGGACUGAGACACGGCCCAAACUGCUAAGUGAGGAUGUAGAGUGGAAUCCUGCGCCAGGGUCGACGUACAGGAGAAGCCGUAGCUCGUGAAUGAAGAACGUAUUAGCAUAGCACAAUUCAGUUAGGGGGUAUGAUAGUGACGGUACCAGGAGAAGAAGCCCCGGCUGACUUCGUG